rnacentral:rRNA from 1 species
UACAUGGGGUGCAAACGUUGCUCGGAAUCAUUGGGCGUAAAGCGCGCGUAGGCGGUUACUUAAGUCGAAUGUGAAAGCCCUCGGCUUAACCGAGGAAGUGCAUCCGAAACUGAGUAGCUAGAGUACGAAAGAGGGUCGCGGAAUUCCCGGUGUAGAGGUGAAAUUCGUAGAUAUCAGGAGGAACACCGGUGGCGAAGGCGGGUCUCUGGGCCGUAACUGACGCUGAGGAGCGAAAGCGUGGGGGAGCGAACAGG